UAUUUUUAAAAAGUUUUAAAUUUAUAAAUUACACUAUAUAUUUUUACGUAGUGGUAAUUUAUAUGCUUUUAUUGUUUACAUUCAUGCUUUCAUAAUAAGAAAAUUGUACGAAUACCAAGUAUCUCGUUAAUUGUAAUUGAGCAGACCCAAGCGCAGGUAAAAGCCUACUUUCCAGCUGAAGCUUGUAUAUAUUAUAUAUUUGUGUCUACUUAUAGUUGGUGAUAUUGGUAAAGUUCCUGAAGCACAUGCUUACAUUGAAUUGCUCAAGGUAAAUCAAAUUAUUCAUGAAAAUGAUUUAAGCUAUCUGCGCAAGUCAUUUGAUGUUAUUAGAAGAAAUGAUCUUAUAAAAAUGAUUGAUGAAUUUGAAAAGAGUCAAAAUCAAGGAAAUGAUUCAAAUAAAGCAAUUUCAGCCUCAAACGCUGAUUGGCUGAAGAAACCAAGUAGUUUUCAAUAUAGUCAAAAUGUUUUUAAGUGUUUUUCUAAUAAUAUUUUGGAUGAUAUAGUGGAUGUUGCUACAGAUGAACAAGGUAGUCAAGAAGUUCAAUUCUGGAAAAAAUCAUUUUUGCCAUCUUCAGGGAGAAGGAAUGUUAAAAGUCUCAAUUGCGACGAUAAAGGAAGUUCAUGACGAUUGCUAUCUUUUAGUAUCUACUGCUCUUCAGAUAUGUAAUUGAUCUCGCAGCCAUAGACCAUCUUUAGUAUUGAACUCAAAUUCUACGUGAAAACACAUUGAAGACACCAGUUUUCGGAAUUUAAUGAUAGUGAAAGAGAAUCUAAAAAUGGUGUCUAUCGUCGAAGACUUUCAUUUUUUUCUUUUUCGGCGUUGUAGUUUAGUAGAAACCCCUCGGUACUUAAAAGGCGAUCUCAGAUUCAACAGUCGACUAUGGAGAUGCGAAAAAUCUGUCAUCGCAAAAAAAGUGAUUUGUCCCCUUUUUUGGUGUCAUCGUCUCUGUUUAAAAAAUAGAAAUUAAAAAAUUUGUAAUCUUAUUUAAAGAAUUUAUUUAUUGUAAUUUUUA
rnacentral:misc_RNA from 1 species